GGGGGGGAGUCGAACCCCCAUAAAUAGGUUUACAGCCUACCGCCUUACUCGGCCACCUAACC
rnacentral:tRNA from 1 species